CCUUCACCAGGAUAAACAGCUGAGGAAGUCCUGCGGCUCACUCGAGCUCAGUGCCAUUGGUGCCUCUUCCAGAGGGCUCAGCUUUAAAGGAAUUUGCUCGGGGGAAGACGACAGCUGCUGCUCUGAUGAAGGAUUUUUCUGAGCAGGCCUUCCAAGCAAGACAUGUCAGCAUGAGAUGCUGCCUACACUUUUCAUCGUGA
rnacentral:lncRNA from 1 species